CCGUAGGUGAACCUGCGGAAGGAUCAUUAAAUAAUUUAGAUGGCCUUUGCUAGUUUUCUAGCGAAUGGUUCAUUCUUUUUUACUGUGAACUGUUUUAAUUUUUCAGCGUCUGAGGAAUGUCUUUUAGCCAUAGGGAUAGGCUACUAGAAUGUUAACCGAGCUGAAAGUCAGGCUUAGGCCUGGUAUCCUAUUAAUUAUUUACCAAAAGAAUUCAGUAUUAUAAUUGUAACAUAAGCGUAAAAAACUUAUAAAACAACUUUUAACAACGGAUCUCUUGGUUCUCGCAUCGAUGAAGAACGUAGCAAAGUGCGAUAACUAGUGUGAAUUGCAUAUUCAGUGAAUCAUCGAGUCUUUGAACGCAACUUGCGCUCAAUGGUAUUCCAUUGAGCACGCCUGUUUCAGUAUCAAAAACACCCCACAUUCAUAAUUUUGUUGUGAAUGGAAAUGAGAGUUUCGGCUUUAUUGCUGAAUUCUUUAAAAUUAUUAGGCCUGAACUAUUGUUCUUUCUGCCUGAACAUUUUUUUAAUAUAAAGGAAUGCUCUAGUAAAAAGACUAUCUCUGGGGCCUCCCAAAUAAAUCAUUCUUAAAUUUGAUCUGAAAUCAGGCGGGAUUACCCGCUGAACUUAAGCAUAUCAAUAAGCGGAGG
rnacentral:rRNA from 1 species